AGCAGCCGCGGUAAUUCCAGCUCCAAUAGCGUAUAUUAAAGUUGUUGCAGUUAAAAAGCUCGUAGUUGAAUUUCGGGACCAAUCUGCCGGUCGUGCCUCCGGUACGCACUGGUUUUAUUGGUUUCUCCCUUCUGACGAACUAUGAUGUCAUUAAUUUGGUGUCAUGGGGAAUCAGGACUGUUACUUUGAAAAAAUUUAGAGUGUUUAUAGCAGGCUCACGCUUGAAUACAUUAGCAUGGAAUAAUGAAAUAGGACGUUUGACCCUAUUUUGUUGGUUUCUAGGAUCGACGUAAUGAUUAAUAGGGAUAGUUGGGGGCAUUAGUAUUCAAUUGUCAGAGGUGAAAUUCUUGGAUUUAUUGAAGACUAACUACUGCGAAAGCAUUUGCCAAGGAUGUCUUCAUUAAUCAAGAACGAAAGUUAGGGGAUCGAAGACGAUCAGAUACCGUCGUAGUCUUAACCAUAAACUAUGCCGACUAGGGAUCGGAUGAUGUUAAUUUUUUCAAUGACUCAUUCGGCGCCU
rnacentral:rRNA from 1 species